UAAUACUCUCUAGCUCCAUCCACACUGUUGCAAAUGUCAUGAUUUCAUUCAUUUUUUAUGGCUGAGAAAUAUUCGUGUGUGUGUGUGUGUGUGUGUGUGUACAUAUCCCAUCUUCUUUAUCCAUUCAUCAGUUGAUGACAGAUGGACAUUUGGGCUCUUUCCAUAGUUUGGCUAUUGUUGAUUGAAAUUUAAUUUGUUGGCACAGGCAACUGUGUAGAUUAUUGAAUAUGUUCUUAGCAUUUUUAAAGGUAUUGAACCAAGUUUUGCCAUAAAUAUUUUCUCAUUAAUUUUUUUUCCCUUUUUUAGGCCAAUAGUACCAAAGAUCAACAGUAAAGGCCAGUACUCAUCUCUGCCGCAAGGGAGUGUGACUAACAUCACAAAUCGGACGUCCUAUACCUAUCCUGAUCGCUGCAUUUACCGUGCUGUCCCUUAGCUGCUGACUGCACUGAUCUGAAGUGACUUCACUGAACCCGAGGGUGAGAACUCUCUUAUUCAUCUUUGUAACCUCAGCAGAGUGCUCGACACACAUGCUUGGUGUUUAAGUAACAAAUGGGUGAUUGAGGUCUUAUCUCACCAUGGUACAUUUACAUUGAGAUAAGAUAUUUAGUUACCUGGAAGGAUAGCUCAGUAAUGUGUUAACAUGUGAACCAAAGGUGCUUUAUCUGAUUGGCCCCUUUGCAGCAGCAGGGACAGAACGGUGGCAGGUCGACGGUGGCACAGCAGGCUGGUUUGGGGGCAGUCUGCAUACGUGCU
rnacentral:lncRNA from 12 species